CAUUUUCUUCAAACAUGCAGAAUGUUUUCCCAGACUGCAUCUAUUUCAGGGUCUUCCAUUUUUGUGGUUUAUGGCCAUGCUUGCCAGUUUUGGUGGGGUUGAGGAACCCAUAGGACUCAUAUAAAUAAUAGUGAAAACUCAAACCCUUGUUCUGGGACUUCAGUUCUAGUGGCCCAUAGGGGCAGAGAUCUCAGAAUGAAGUUCGCCUGAGUGAAGGGAGAGUUCCCCUAUAAAAGGUCUAAAAUUGAUUUGGGGCUCAGGCAUCAAGGGGCUGGUGUUGCUCAUGUCCCAGACAAGGAAGCCCCUCUUUACAUCAGCCAUAUUAGGGGAACGGUUGUCAGCUCCCCAAAUGCCUACUGGAUCCUACAGCCAUACAGGAAAACAGAUGGACACAGCCCUUUCCUCAAAGAGCCCUGGGAUCCUGUCCUGCAGGGUGCUGCGUAGGAACGAGCAGAGAUGUCCUGGAUGGGAACAUGGUCCUGGAGGUGCAGGAUUCGCCAUGGUGCAGCCUCCAGGUACAAAGAUCUGAGGCAAUGGCGAUCCCAGGCCUUGCUGCACCCUGAACACAGCUCAGACCGGUGAGGGGUGAUUCAGAGGUGGGGAUGGGCAGAGAGGGCUGGCCACUCUGCCUCAAGACUUGACCUCAAGUCUUCUGUCUCCUGACCUGGUGUGUCCAGAAGACCAUCCUCUUUCUUGCCAGAAGCAAAUGCUAAGAUGGACUGCACAGGGCCCUGGUACUCCCUAGGGACCCAUUCAGGAUCUCAGCUGGGCAGGGGUGCCACCCAACAGGAAGAUGUGAUCUGAGCAAUAGUGUGGCCUUGUUUCUCCACUUCUGGUUGUGGCUGUGUUUACAGGGCUACCUGACUAUUUUCACCUCUGACAGGUGUCACUGAUUUUCUUUCCCCCAUUUAAAAAAGGUCAUUUAGUCAAAGACACAGUGCUAGAAGGUUUAAAGGGUGUGAUGUGUUGGUCACAUCACAACCAGUAAGAAACGCUUUGUAGGUUAUCCACAUCUUUUGCUGACUGUUUCCAUAUACAAUUCUGGUAACCAUAUUUUCCAAAGCUAAAAUCCGAGGCGUGGGCUGAUGGUUUUUGAAAUCAGGAUUACCCCAGGGAGAACCAGGUCCUAUUACUAAUUUUCCUAAUUCUGAGGCUCUGAAGACUUGUCUGAGACACAUUCCAGAGACCUUUGUACCAGAACUUGGAUGCACAGUCCAGCUUACUACUGACACACACCUGAGUACCCUUUAGGGCGAGGUGCCGCCGCCUGCCUGCCGUCGUGUCCCUCAGCAUCAGAAGAGUUGAAUUCGGCCGGAGACGGGAGCCCGGUGUCCAUGAGGGAAGAGGGGCCGCGCUUGGUUUCUACGGAUUUCGGACUUGCAGUGCGGCUACCUGGCCCUGCCCUGCCUCUCUCUUUCUCAUACAGCUUUAAAACUUUACUACUUUUAUUUAAAACCGAACUGGAUGGGAGAGAAGUAGCUUCCCCUACCCUACAAGUCACACAUUCCCGAGAGGGGGUGGGGGGUGGAGGCAGGAAGUCCGGGGGUGGGGUGGGGGGCGAACAGCUUGCUUAAGGCCUCAGGGUCCUGCUUUCUCCAGCCUCUUCUGAAGGGCCUGUGGACAGGCCACAGCGCCUGCUUAUUUGGAAACUAGGUGUGUGAGCCGAAUGCCUGCGAGGCCACACACUCAGCACAGGAGCCCCCCUGUAUCUGGCUGCCCUGAGAGGAGCAAGGGCCACCUCCCAUGUGGCUCUAGACACCCCGCGGGCCCAUCAGCCCCAGUGUCUGAGCGGGCUCCACCCCGGUGCCGAGUGCUGGGGCCUCUGGGGCUGGUCGGCCUCAGCAGGAAGGAGGCACUACUGAGCAACUAUGCAUUGUCAUUGUCGGGUUUGGGGCUUGCGGUGGUUCCUUGGUGACUGGGAAUUGCUUGUGUGCAUGUGUUGGGUGCAUGCUUCCGGGCCUCAGCUGCCUCAGGCCCGCACAGGCAACCCUUUCCCAUCCAAAGCCAUUGGUGGAGCUUCUCUGGAAUCGUUUGCCAAAAGCCCAAGGCAGAAUCCAAGGGUCCAAGACCAUUUCCAUGGAGCUCAUGUUUUUCUUUUUUGUAGGAACUUUUUUUUAACCAGCACCCACCAUAAUUCUGAAGGCCAUGUUUCAUCUUCCUGGAUCACUACAGUGAAGUAUUACAGUUGUACAGUUCCCAGUCUGGCCUUGGCUUGCUCGGAUAAAACUUUGUAUGUAUUUUGUAUGGCAUAGAUUCUAUAUUGUAAUGAUGUCCUAUGCAAAAAGAAAAAUUAACGAAAUUGUAAAUUUUAUUGUUUUAACGUGUAUGCAUGUUUAGUGACGUUUACAUUUUGAAAUAAAAUUUAUGAUUCAU
ensembl:lncRNA